rnacentral:lncRNA from 1 species
GACAAUCAAUUCAUUUAAUUGCAAUUGUUUUGUUUUAAUUACAAUUAAAUGAUUUAAUUUGUCGACUUGAGAUUAAAUUUUGGAGUGAUUAAGUCCCUAUUGUGUUUGAUAUUUGUUAAAAUAAAUUGAUUUGAUCAAUAAGUCACCAAAGUGACCUCUAUUGCUUGAAUUGAUUUAUUUUAGAAUAUUAGACAGGUGUAUUAGAAUUCGUUGCGGAUAGUUAAUCGGCCCAAAGGAAGGUUGCUAUUUGGCUGAGUUUUGAAUACAUGUUUGGCAAUAAAUAUGUGAUAAUUGUUUGAUUAUUUUCCAUGACAAUGAUAUAUCGGCCCAAAGGAAGAUUUAUUAUUUGUCAGGACUAUGUUAUCAAUAUUUGAUUGCUGCAUUGAGAUACUAAU